rnacentral:rRNA from 1 species
AGAUUGAACGCUGGCGGAAUGCUUUACACAUGCAAGUCGAACGGCAGCACGGGGGCAACCCUGGUGGCGAGUGGCGAACGGGUGAGUAAUACAUCGGAACGUGCCCAGUCGUGGGGGAUAACGUAGCGAAAGCUACGCUAAUACCGCAUACGAACUCUGGUUGAAAGCGGGGGAUCGCAAGACCUCGCGCGAUUGGAGCGGCCGAUGGCAGAUUAGGUAGUUGGUGGGGUAAAGGCUCACCAAGCCUGCGAUCUGUAGCUGGUCUGAGAGGACGACCAGCCACACUGGGACUGAGACACGGCCCAGACUCCUACGGGAGGCAGCAGUGGGGAAUUUUGGACAAUGGACGCAAGUCUGAUCCAGCCAUUCCGCGUGCAGGAUGAAGGCCCUCGGUUGUAAACUGUCUUUUAGUAACGGAACGAAAAGCGUACCUAGGUUAAUACCGUGGCGUCAGUCGACGGUAACCGUAAGAAUAAGCACCGGCUAACUACGUGCCAGCAGCGCGUAA